GUAGUCCUAGCUGUAAACGAUGGGCGCUUGGUGUUGCGGGUAUCGACCCCUGCAGUGCCGAAGCUAACGCAUUAAGCGCCCCGCCUGGGGAGUACGGUCGCAAGGAUGAAACUCAAAGGAAUUGACGGGGGCCCGCACAAGCGGUGGAGCAUGUGGUUCAAUUCGACGCAACGCGAAGAACCUUACCUGGGUUUGAACUGCAGGUGACAGGCCUGGAAACAGGCUCUUUCUUCGGAACGCCUGCAGAGGUGCUGCAUGGCUGUCGUCAGCUCGUGUCGUGAGAUGUUGGGUUAAGUCCCGCAACGAGCGCAACCCUUGUCCUUAGUUGCCAUCGGGUCGAGCCGGGCACUCUAAGGAGACUGCCCCGGAAAACGGGGAGGAAGGUGGGGAUGACGUCAAGUCAUCAUGGCCUUUAUGCCCAGGGCUACACACGUGCUACAAUGGGCGGUACAAAGGGCUGCGAACCCGCGAGGGGGAGCCAAUCCCAUAAAACCGUCCUCAGUUCGGAUUGCAGUCUGCAACUCGACUGCAUGAAGUUGGAAUCGCUAGUAAUCGCAGAUCAGCACGCUGCGGUGAAUA
rnacentral:rRNA from 1 species